rnacentral:rRNA from 1 species
GACGAACGCUGGCGGCGUGCUUAACACAUGCAAGUCGAACGGAAAGGCCCUGCUUUGGUGGGGUGCUCGAGUGGCGAACGGGUGAGUAACACGUGAGUAACCUGCCCUUGACUUUGGGAUAACUUCAGGAAACUGGGGCUAAUACCGGAUAGGAGCUCCUGCUGCAUGGUGGGGGUUGGAAAGUUUCGGCGGUUGUGGAUGUACUCGCGGCUUAUCAGCUUGUUGGUGAGGUAGUGGCUGACCAGGGCUAUGACGGGUAGCCGGCCUGAGAGGGUGACCGGCCACAUUGGGACUGAGAUACGGCCCAGACUCCUACGGGAGGCAGCAGUGGGGAAUAGUGCACAAUGGGCGGAAGCCUGAUGCAGCAACGCCGCGUGCGGGAUGACGGCCUUCGGGUUGUAAACCGCUUUCGCCUGUGACGAAGCGUGAGUGACGGUAAUGGGUAAAGAAGCACCGGCUAACUACGUG